GUCUAAAGCAAUUUGUAUUCUCUGCAUCCAGUUUAACGAUUUGUUGCUGCUUAGUGCGUUAUAAUAGAUCCAAUCGCUUAAUGGCCCAUUAACAGCAAACUCAUAAACAAGAUACCAAUGACCGUCAUCAAAACAAACACCUGCUAGGUGAAUGAGAUUAUGAUGGUGAAUAGUGUUAAGUAAACGAAUCUCGUUUGACACGUCACCAUGCAUUUUCUUGAUGGCAACAAGGUUUCCGUUGAUGGUACCUUGGUAAACAGACCCCUUAAUCAAACAAUCGGGACUAAAAUCUUGUGUGGCUGACUGAAGUUGUUCAAAUUUGUAUACUUUGAGGGAUUGCGCUAUGCUACUUAAACUCUCCAAGAAUUCCGAGUCUUCAUCAAUAUCCAACUUCUUAUCCCCUGGUUUUACAAUUGCUUCAAAGCUCUGAGAAGCAGAAGAAACCGUAGGUGGAGUCGUUUUCUUUUUCUUUGAAAAGAAAAGGUAGAAAAUGCACAACCCAAUAGCAAAUGUGAGAACAACCCCUCCAAGGACUCCUACAAGCAUAUAUACCCAUUUAUGAUCAUUGGCGGAAGUGGGGGGUGGUGGCGACAGUGGUGAUGGUGGUGGCGAUGUUGUUGGAGGCGGUGGCGGUGCUAUGGUUUGAGAUUUAUUAGGUGGAUUAGAAAGUGGAACUAAAAGGGUGGUGAACGGGUAGAUAUUAAAAUCGGUUUCUGAUAACUCAUUGGCUUGAAGAGUCAGCCCAGUAUCAACUCCAAAUAUAGCACUUAUAGCCGAAACCGUUUGUCCCCAAGUGAUCAAGUAAGACAGCAAAUAGUUAAUACCAGCAGCAGCUUGCUUUUCGGUUGGACAAGCACAUCUUAAUGGCACGGCCUCCGAAAGUGUCGUUGGCGAUCAAGAGAGGCGUGUCUCCGGACUGGAUAACAUAAGUCGUGUUCGCUUGAUAGAACUGACCCAAACACGAACACCGGGUGGGCACAAGCACCGUCUCACCAGUUCCAAAAGUGUAGUUUUCUGAGACCAAGUUGAGUUGUGAAAGCUGAGUAGCGUUUGCAUUCAAUAAACCGGCGAUGGAAACAACCGUGUUAUAAGGGGGUUUGGAUCGGAAGGUGAGAUAAGCUUGGCAGGUAUCGUUAACACCGUUACAGGCGUAACCGAAAACAGAAGUUGAAGCAUUUGUGACAGCACAGUUUGUACUCAACUUCCUGAUGUAUGGUUGUUGGGCCUGAAUCAAAAUCGGCGGACAAAUUAAGAGGAUAGCGCAAACGAAGAAAAAGCGCAGGGCCAGCAUGUUUGAGAUGUUAGCAGAAGAUCGGAAUCUGAAGUUGAUUGAAUGGAAAGAAGAGGAUGGAGUUGACCAAGUUGGAUGAAGGAAGCGUAGGGAUGAUCAAAGAUAAUAUUGUUUGGAGUAGUUAAUUAGUAGGCAUGAUGAACGAAGGUUUGAAUUGAAAUGUUCAUGUGGGAAUCAAAUGAUUUGAUGAAUUGAUUUAAGUGAACAAGAUCAUUGAAUUAGUGGUGAGGAUGUCGACGUUUGAAUAAUUUGUUUUUGGGUCAACGAGGAGAGAAAGUGUCUUGGGUUAGGUUGAUAGUAACAUAUGGUGGUAAAGAAAUUUGCUAUUAAAAAAAAUAACAUA
rnacentral:lncRNA from 1 species